ACGGAAGGCAGCAGUGAGGAAUAUUGGUCAAUGGGCGGAAGCCUGAACCAGCCAAGUCGCGUGAAGGAUGAAGGUAUUAUGUAUUGUAAACUUCUUUAGACGUAGAGAAAUAAGGGUGUCGUGACACCUGAUGCUAGUAUACGUAGAAUAAGGAUCGGCUAACUCCGUGCCAGCAGCCGCGGUAAUACGGAGGAUCCGAGCGUUAUCCGGAUUUAUUGGGUUUAAAGGGUGCGCAGGCGGUCUUUUAAGUCAGUGGUUAAAUCGUGGAGCUUAACUCCAUCCCGCCAUUGAUACUGGAGGACUUGAUUUCGGUUGAGGUUGGCGGAAUUCGCCGUGUAGCGGUGAAAUGCAUAGAUAUGGCGAAGAACUCCGAUUGCGUAGGCAGCUGACCAAGCCGAUAAUGACGCUCAUGCACGAAAGUGCGGGGAUCGAACAGGAUUAGAUACCCUGGUA
rnacentral:rRNA from 1 species